GACGAACGCUGGCGGCGUGCUUAACACAUGCAAGUCGAACGGAAAGGCCCUGCUUUUGUGGGGUGCUCGAGUGGCGAACGGGUGAGUAACACGUGAGUAACCUGCCCUUGACUUUGGGAUAACUUCAGGAAACUGGGGCUAAUACCGGAUAGGAGCUCCUGCUGCAUGGUGGGGGUUGGAAAGUUUCGGCGGUUGGGGAUGGACUCGCGGCUUAUCAGCUUGUUGGUGGGGUAGUGGCUUACCAAGGCUUUGACGGGUAGCCGGCCUGAGAGGGUGACCGGCCACAUUGGGACGGGGAUACGGCCCAGACUCCUACGGGAGGCAGCAGUGGGGAAUAUUGCACAAGGGGCGGAAGCCUGAUGCAGCAACGCCGCGUGCGGGAUGACGGCCUUCGGGUUGUAAACCGCUUUCGCCUGUGACGAAGCGUGAGUGACGGUAAUGGGGAAAGAAGCACCGGCUAACUACGU
rnacentral:rRNA from 1 species